UACGGAGGUGGCAAGCGUUACUCGGAUUUAUUGGGUGUAAAGGGCAGGUAGGUGGUUCUGUAAGUUGGGAGUGAAAUCCCCCGGCUCAACCGGGGAAUUGCUUUCAAAACUGCGGAACUUGAGACUAGAAGAGGAAAGUGGAAUUCCCGGUGUAAGGGUGAAAUCUGUAGAUAUCGGGAGGAACACCAGUAGCGAAGGCGACUUUCUGGGCUAGUUCUGACACUGAGCUGCGAAAGCUAGGGGAGCAAACAGG
rnacentral:rRNA from 1 species